AACCUGCGGACUUGAGCUUACCAUGGGCAGGUUGUGAAAGAGGAAGUGAAUGGUGAAUAUGUGCAACCUGAAGAGUUCAGGAAAGAAAUUAGGGAAAAUAGCUGAUCCCCGUGACUAAAGGGAUUUCAAAGAGAGAAGUCCUGUGGAAAGAGAGUUGUUCAAGCAGAAUUUGUUAAAAUGUUGGUUGUUACCGUUGCAAUAUAAUACU
rnacentral:lncRNA from 1 species